AAUUCAUUGAUAUUGGUCGGAUUGCGUCCAUCCAGAACAACCAUAGGCCUGUUGACUCUGCCAAGAAAGGCCAGAGGGUGGCCAUUAAGAUAGUUGGGUCUAACUCUGAGGAACAACAGAAGAUGUUUGGCAGGCAUUUUGAAAUCGAAGAUGAGCUUGUUAGCAAAGUCUCGAGAAGAUCCAUUGACAUCCUCAAGGCCAAUUUCCGGAACGACUUGUCUAUUGAAGAUUGGAGGCUAGUUAAAACAUUGAAGAACUUAUUCAAGAUACAGUGAGAUUCGUUGCAAAGCUUUCAAGUAGCUACUGCUUGGCUUUUUGUGGCACUGCGUUGGGGCUCAACAGUUCAUCAUUGCAAGAAACACUGCUUUUGUUGGGACUCAUAAUCAUAAAGGAUGUAAAUGCACUGAGAAUUUUGAUAGUGUUGGGACUGUUGGCCAAUCUCA
rnacentral:misc_RNA from 1 species